rnacentral:rRNA from 1 species
AGUGAACGCUGGCGGUAGGCCUAACACAUGCAAGUCGAACGGCAGCACAGUAAGAGCUUGCUCUUACGGGUGGCGAGUGGCGGACGGGUGAGGAAUACAUCGGAAUCUACUUUUUCGUGGGGGAUAACGUAGGGAAACUUACGCUAAUACCGCAUACGACCUACGGGUGAAAGCAGGGGAACUUCGGACCUUGCGCGAUUGAAUGAGCCGAUGUCGGAUUAGCUAGUUGGCGGGGUAAAGGCCCACCAAGGCGACGAUCCGUAGCUGGUCUGAGAGGAUGAUCAGCCACACUGGAACUGAGACACGGUCCAGACUCCUACGGGAGGCAGCAGUGGGGAAUAGUGGACAAUGGGCGCAAGCCUGAUCCAGCCAUCCCGCGUGGGUGAAGAAGGCCUUCGGGCUGUAAAGCCCUUUUGUUGGGAAAGAAAAGCAGCAGGUUAAUACCCCGCUGUUCUGACGGUACCCAAAGAAUAAGCACCGGCUAACUUCGUG